UAGUCACUCUCUUGUUCUUUACCUAUUCUG
rnacentral:piRNA from 1 species